AGAAAUCGUUAAGGGCGUAUGGCGGAUGCCUAGGCUUUCAGAGGCGAAGAAGGACGUGGUAAGCUGCGAAAAGCUACGGGGAUUGGCACACACGAGUUGAUCCGUAGAUAUCCGAAUGGGGCAACCCACUAUGUUGAAGACAUAGUACCCUGCGGGGGGCAAACCUGGAGAACUGAAACAUCUAAGUACCCAGAGGAAAAGAAAUCGAAGAGAUUCCGUUAGUAGUGGCGAGCGAACGCGGAUUAGCCCAAAAGUUUAUAAAUAUUUAGUGGAAUACUUUGGAAAGAGUAAUCGAAGAAGGUGAUAAUCCUGUACACGAAAGGUAUAUAUAGAUGAAAAAAGAGUAGAGCGGGACACGAGAAAUCCUGUUUGAAAAUGGGGGGACCAUCCUCCAAGGCUAAAUACUCCUGAAAGACCGAUAGUGAACGAGUACUGUGAAGGAAAGGUGAAAAGCACUUCGAAUAGAAGGGUGAAAUAGAACCUGAAACCGUACGCCUACAAGCGGUCGGAGCACAAAUAUUGUGUGACGGCGUGCCUUUUGCAUAAUGAGCCUACGAGUUAAUUUUACUAGCGAGGUUAAGUGGUUCAGCCACGGAGCCGGAGCGAAAGCGAGUCUGAAUAGGGCUGAUAGUUAGUAGGAUUAGACGCGAAACCUUGUGAUCUACCCAUGGGCAGGUUGAAGCUUUGGUAACACAGAGUGGAGGACCGAACCCGUUGACGUUGAAAAGUCUUGGGAUGACUUGUGGGUAGGGGUGAAAGGCCAAUCAAACUGGGAGAUAGCUCGUACUCUCCGAAAUGCAUUUAGGUGCAGCGUUGAUAUAUAGUUUAUUAGAGGUAGAGCUACUGAUUGGAUGCGGGGGCUUCAUCGCCUACCAAUUCCUGACAAACUCCGAAUGCUAAUAAAUGAUAAUCAGCAGUGAGGGCAUGGGUGCUAAGGUCCAUGUCCGAGAGGGAAAGAACCCGGACCACCAGCUAAGGUCCCUAAAUAUAUGCUAAGUUGAAAGAACGCGGUUGAACUGCCUAGACAGCUAGGAUGUUGGCUUGGAAGCAGCCAUUCAUUUAAAGAGUGCGUAACAGCUCACUAGUCGAGCGGUUCGGCAUGGAUAAUAAUCGGGCAUAAGCAUAUUACCGAAGCUAUGGGAUAUAUAAUAUAUCGGUAGGAGAGCAUUCUAUAGGGGUAGAAGGUGUACUGCGAGGUAUGCUGGACUGUAUAGAAAAGAAAAUGUAGGCAUAAGUAACGAUAAAGGGGGCGAGAAACCCCCUCACCGAAAGACUAAGGUUUCCUCAGCUAUGCUAAUCAGCUGAGGGUUAGUCGGGACCUAACGCGAACCCGAGAGGGGUAGUGGAUGGACAACAGGUUAAUAUUCCUGUACUUGCUCACAAUAAAAGGGGACGGUUUUAAGAAACUACUGGAGACUGACGGAAUAGUCAAGACCUAGCCUACGGGCGAAGUUGUUGUAGCGUAUUAAGAUCCAAGAAAAGCCGAAGUGAAGCAACCCGUACCAAAACCGACACAGGUAGUCGAGGAGAGAAUCCUAAGGUGCUCGAGUGAGUCGUGGCUAAGGAACUAGGCAAAAUGGUCUCGUAACUUCGGGAGAAGAGACGCCAUCAGUAAUGAUGGCCGCAGAAAAGAGGCCCAGGCGACUGUUUAUCAAAAACACAGGACUCUGCAAAAUCGAAAGAUGAAGUAUAGGGUCUGACACCUGCCCGGUGCUGGAAGGUUAAGGGAGGAUGUUAGCGUUUACGCGAAGCAUUUGACUGAAGCCCCAGUAAACGGCGGCCGUAACUAUAACGGUCCUAAGGUAGCGAAAUUCCUUGUCGGGUAAGUUCCGACCUGCACGAAUGGUGUAACGAUCUGACUAUAACUUCGUAUUGACUUUGAGUAAGUAAUGUGUAGGAUAGGUGGGAGACUUUGAAGCGUGCACGCUAGUGUAUGUGGAGUCGUUGUUGAAAUACCACCCUUUACUUACUUGGAGCCUAAUCUCGUGAGAGAGACAUUGCGUGGUGGGUAGUUUGACUGGGGUGGUCGCCUCCAAAAGAGUAACGGAGGCUUUCAAAGGUACCCUCAGCACGCUUGGUAACCGUGCGUAGAGUGUAAUGGCAAAAGGGUGCUUGACUGUGAGACCUACAAGUCGAUCAGGUGCGAAAGCAGGACAUAGUGAUCCGGUGGUUCCGUAUGGAAGGGCCAUCGCUCAUAGGAUAAAAGGUACUCCGGGGAUAACAGGCUAGUCUCCCCCAAGAGCUCACAUCGACGGGGAGGUUCGGCACCUCGAUGUCGGCUCGUCACAUCCUGGGGCUGGAGAAGGUCCCAAGGGUUGGGCUGUUCGCCCAUUAAAGUGGCACGCGAGCUGGGUUCAGAACG
rnacentral:rRNA from 1 species